UAUCAUCUUUAAGACUAACUCUUUUAUUAACUCGUUUUUAAGGUUACUAUUCAUACUUUAUACUAACUUUUUCACUAAAUAUAUGUUUGCAACAAAAAUCUUCUAACUCUUUCAUACAUUUUCGAUUUCAAAUAUUACUACAAUAAUCCUGAUAGUCGUAUCUCGUUACAGUGCCAACGAAAUUUCAAAUAAUUCCGUAUAAUGCACGUGAUAUAUUGAUAAAAUCAUAAAAUAAAUUCUUUGGUAAGUAUUCGAAUACUUUCGUGAGACACUAUAUAAGGUGAUUUUCAAUGGUUCAUAGAAUCUCCAUCUCGAGUAAAUUGGCGGACAUUGCAAUGUUCAGCCUGCACCGUCUAUUCUAAACUUUUCUUCCCUAUACUCUAGCAUACGGGGCGGGGCCGUUGCAGUGCAUCGAAAGAGAAAUUUUUCCGGCGGUUGUUGGCCCAGCCCCACGACGAACGGAUACUAGGGUGUUUCCCACAUGAAUGGCAGAGCAGUGGAGGUACAUUGCAAGCAAGCUGCAGCGCUGCAGUAGGCCUGUGGGCCAAGGUUCUCUCUCUCUCCCUUUUCUUCCUCUCUUCCGUACUCCUUUCUACUUGCUUUUUGUCUUGGAUAUUCUUUUUAUCUCGACUACUUUUACAGAUGAAAAACUGCUUGCAACCAGCAACGAAUCAACAAUCACGACUAGGAAGUUGCGGAAACUUUUGAAUGAGAAGUCACCCAAUCAGUUGAAAUGGCAGUUAGCCAGACCGCUUCAUAUUCCAGUUUCGUUUAAUUGUUUAGCAUGAUACGUUUUAUUUCCCGGAUGCAGAUGCACUCGAGGCCCCCUCCAUUGAGCCACUCUUCUAAGAUCUCCCGAAGUUAACAGGCGUGACCCUUUCCCUUCUGGAGUUUUUCAUGCGGACCCACCUGGUCUUUCAUUGGCCAGGGGCUAAAUGAGAAUUUUUCCGAUAUGGCCUGUUAGGCCAGCCCUCUAUUUAUACGUUUCCCCAUCGAUGGUAGCCACGUUGUACUACCGCUUUUAUCGUUGCAACUCUUCUAUAUUAAACAAAUUUGUUUCCAUUAUUAUUAACUCUGCAACCUUUCAUCCUCUUUAUAUUUCGGGUAUAUUAUAUUUUUAAAUUUGUAGAUAUAUAAAGCGUUACCCGAUGGAAAAUGCACUGUUACGAGAAAGAAAUACGCCAUUUUCUGUCUCUGGUCUGUCUAGCCGAAGAGCAUCGAGUUAUUCUACAUCGGUGGAGGCUCACAAAGCUAUGUAUAUACCUACUAUCGAUGCUGUGCGCAGUGCACAUACCUGCACCGUGGUUACGCAGGUGUGCGUGACCUUUUCUCUUGCCGGGAAUCGCUCAACUUUGCAGAAGAAUCGCAUUUUUCUGCGUAAGCUCGUUUCCCGUGUUCGAUGGCAGGUGCAUUCCUAUACGAUGCGUUUCCAUCCUGAUGUGUCGCUUCCUGUACCAGCUAUAUUUUGUUUUCAUGUGCAAGCUUAUUUUAGUUUUGGAGGUACUUUGCGGUCAAUUUGUAUAUUAGAUGGAGGUUAGGUAAUACUGAAUUCUUAACAAUUAGUAUCGAUAACUUAUAAUUAUUCUUAUUUCAUUUAUAGAAGUCUAUAGUUAACUUAUAACUAUAUCUAUUUUUGCUAAACAAUGACUACUAAACAAAGAUCUAAAUAAAUCCAAGAGGAAUGAUUAUGCAAGAGAAGGAAAGUACAACUGGUCUUCAAGCAAAAUUUUCUCAUAAAAAAAUGGGGAGUAGCGGCUGGUAGCCUAGUCGGUACAUUCUGUAUCGCUUUUUUCCGCGUCGUGGCAGCAUAGCGUGCACACAGAGACGGUAGCGGUUGUCUGUAGCUAGGUUGAGGUUGCCGGAGGCCGCUUCUCGUCGUCUCUCGCUCGUCUAGUCGUGGCAAGGUGCAUGCUCGGCAUCGUGCACGCACGAACACGCAGAAAGCAAUCGUUGGAGCAGCGUGUCUGGUAGGUACUAUAGGGGAAACACUGGAGACCAGAUGCAUUCGACUGGUAUUACUGUAUAUAAUACUAAGAUCACUUUUGAAUAAUGCGGAUUUUCUCAGAAGUUGACGGUAUAGCCGAGCCAUACUCGAUUCCAUGAGUCACCAUAAAGUUCUAAACUAUGAGAAACUUGAAACUAUUACGCAAAAUGUCCGCGAUGAAAAAUAAUUGAAAUCUAGAUGACGAAAUUUGGAGGAAAUAUACUGUGAUAGAUGGUGAUGUAUCGGAAAAAGAGUUCUGGAAGGUUAAAGCAGCAAAAAGAAUGGCCGAAAUGCAGUAGUAGAAAGGAAUGCCCGUGCGAAGCGGAGACUCAACAUGCGAUGAAACCGGCCCUGGGAGCGCACAAAGCCGCGGGGGCGUUCAUUUUACGCAUCGACAGUAACGAUGACGUUUUGUAAACGCAAAAGUACAAAUGCGCCUUAUUCCACUUUGGUCUAAUCUAACAUAUCCUUGUUCUCCUUUUAUUUUUAGACCAGCUUGGAACUUCCACUAACAAAAUAAUAGCACCAUAACCUAUAUGAACGAGUUCGAAAAUCGUGCAAUUUGAGGAGAAUCAUCAGGCGAAUAUUUAAGAGAGAUAUUGGAAACUGGUCGAAGAAGGGAGACAGAGAGGUUCCUUUACGUCCGCGGGGCUUCGGUGUCAACAGGUUUUAUUUUUGCCCCGCGAAAAGGCCAAGGUCCUCUCCUGCCCCUACCGUGCAUACCCGCCAACAGUCCCCUGCCCGCACGCCGCCCCUUUUCCCUUCUUUCCAUCCAGAUCCCCUCCAUUGGCAUCGUCGACGUGUCCUCGAUAGGUGGGGAGGCUCCUGGGGGAUGCUAUGAAGAACCUUCUGGAUUAAUACCCGCACCUCAGGAGAAUUUGCUCCACAACUCUGUUCUAAAGGUUCUAUGAAGCCAGUACGUUGAUAACACAAUUUCCUGUAAAGGAAAUAUCUACUUAUGGAAUAUUUCUUUGUUAAUUAUUUUAAAGCAACGAAGGGUCUAAAAGAGCGAUAGUCCGUGUUUGUAGUUUUGUCGUACAUAUACAUUCCAGGAGGAAAUGCACAGGCAAUCGGCCCCAAUUGGGGUGAUACAGACAGAGUGCGACUGAUGGAGAAAGAGAGAGAGAGAGAGAGAGAAAUCGAGAAAAAUAGCGGCUAGGGAAUGGAGUAGAUGACGGACGGAAAAAGAACGACAGAAAACACACGAAAUAUAGGGGUAUAUGACAAAGAGGAAGCAAAAGGCGGGGAGGCGGGCAGAAAAGCAGAAAGAAAGAAAAAGAUGAAAAAUGAAACGGAAAGAGAACAAGCAGUCUAGCCCUGUAUAUAUGGAUGGAUGUGUUUGAGAGGGAGAGUCGAAGGGGACGAAGGAGCAUGAGAUGUAGCAGUGAUAGAGAUCCAAAAUCAAAGUUUUCCAAGAGACACGACCUAGAUCAUCGAAAAACUCCAAACCGUAUUAAAUUUUGAGAUUUAGCUACGGGUCGGAAUCAUUUUUUCCAUCAAAAAUUGUUCAGAAACUCGAUGCAGAGAGAGAAACGAGUGUCCAUCACUAGACUGGAGGUUCAGUUGAAGCAAGAAGAACAAGAAGAACCAGGGAGUGCAUUGAACAAGGACAGGUAGACAAUCAAAAGGAGAGGGGAUCAAGUCGUCGUGGUGAGCAGGGGAAGGGUUUUAGGGGGGAGGGGGUAGAGUGCAGCGGCCUGGUUGCCUAUACUCCGCGUGACUAUAGGCAGUCCGGCUAGGCUAGAGUCCGCGUAUAAUGUAUUCUCGAAUAUCGUGCACUCUCUCGUGAUCAAUAUAAGCUCCGACGCGGGCCGGAGAUGCACGAAGAUCCACCUCCUCCUUCCUCGACCCGCCCGGACGAUGUUUUUUCGUGCGGAGUGCAACGCACGCUGGAUCGCGAGAACUGCACUCGCUCUCCCCCUCUCCACGACUCUUUAUUUCUCUCUCUCUUUCUCUUCUAUAAGGGCUGUCUGUUCUUGUCCGAUACUUACCGACUCGCUCUGCUCUUUCAUCCUCGAUUAUAUAUCCGUGACAGUGUCGAAGCGGCUUGAAGAGGGGAGAGAAAGAACGAAUAUUAUAAUCUUGGGAAUUAUUUAAGUUCUCUCGUUAGAGGGAACUCAUGCUUCUACAGUUAAUGAAUGAUCAGAUACGAUGCUAUGUGGUAGGUGUUGCAUAGGUAGCAUUGCGAUUAAAAUGGCACAAAUGUGGCAGCCAUAUUGCCUGGUAGAAGAUUACAAAUUUGUAAGUUUCGGUAGAAUUUGUUGAUCAAUUUUCAAUCGCUUUUUGAGAGCAAUAUGUUUUAUCUUGAAUAUAAUUACCGAGGUGUUUGAAAUAGGCGUGAAAUACAGAAUGGCUGGAAUACUGGUGGAAGGUGGCAGCGAAGCGUGAUGGACGAAAUCUUCUCGGCUCGAUUGAGCGAUAUUCACUCAUAUGAAUUAAAGUUUAAGCCUGCACACCUUCACCGACACUUGGCUCCUCUGCUUAUUGACUCCUGCUGCCUCUCCGCGGCCCCUUGAUCAAUCUUUCGAGAGUAAUGAAGCCUGUGACGACAAAUAUUUAACAUACUGGGGGCCGAGCCUCUUAGAACCGCUUUGUGAUGCUUCGUCUAUGAUCUUUGCGUCAAUUAAUUUUUUGUUCCGAUCUAAUCUUCGAUCGAAGAAGCUCAAUGAACAGAAGUCAGGGUAUCGUAUGUAUAUUGUAAAUUUUAUGGGAACAAGAUAUUCGAUCGAGACCAAUACUCUUACGUGUAAUUAUUCAUACUGUUGUUGCUACUACAAACAAGUCUAGUAAUCCGAUGGAUGUUUCUUUUCAAUCUCAGCCGGUUUCUUUCCCUUUUCAAGAAAUACGAGGGUAAAAAAGAGAGACAAAAGGGUAUGCACGGACGGAAGGAAGAAGAUAAAGAUUGAGAGGCAGACUGGCCGGAGGAAGAAAAUUGGUAGAGGCAGGCUCGUGUACGUUCCAGAAAACUGGCCGCCAUGUCGGCCUCCACCACCCCCACUACAUACCUAUAUGCAGCCAGCAGCACGAGAUAUCGUCCAUUGCACUUUUCAAGCUUUCAUGUGAACGCACUAUACAUAUAUACGCAUGUGCUUCUGCCUAUGUGGAUAGGCGGCAAGCUCACACGUAUCCAGCGGUAGCUCCCCGUAAGAGGAGAGACUGGUCCGCUCAGUGCACAGAAAAAUAAAAUCGUCCAGUGACAUUUUACUGUUACAUCAGUCCAACGUAAAAUACAUAUUACGAAUGUUACAAAAUCUACACAUUUGUUAGUAAUAGCGGAGAAUUAAUCCCCAAGGUAUAAGUAUUCUUCGUCAUUAUGCAAUCUAAGUAUAAGGAUGGAACAGAAUAUAAUGCUUGACUUAUCUCUCUUAUAGGAAAUUGGAAUGAUUGAAAUAGAGGUAAUAGAGGUACUUAGAAAAGGACUGACAUAGUAACACAUCCUAGUUUAUCAAUAUUUAAUAUUUUUACUACUGGUAAAGCUCAAAGAUGAUAACUUAUAGUCUUGUACAAUCACUCAAUACUGGACCUUUCAAAAGCGAUUCUCCGAUUCUCCUUGAAAGAGUAACACAUAUGUCGCUCGUCACAGGGAGAUAUAAAGGGUAAAAUCAUCAGUAAAAAUUAAACAGAAUCAGAAGGAUGUCGCAGGUGGUAUUUUCGCUGCACGCUGGCUGAUUUUCUAAGUCGACCUUAGGCGGGAUAAAAGGGGGAGGGGGCUGUCUCCCACUCAAUUGCAACGAGCUGGCAACGCUAUUGGCAAGUGGCAACGCUGGCCGACUGCACGAAGGAGGGGUAAGAGUGAAACUAUAGUAAUGUGGAGUGGGGUCGAUGGUCCCCCACUGGUUACGCCACUGGCACUGAAUUUCGCACGGUCUAAACGGAGAGUUGACUGAGAGGAACAGAGACGGAACACGACAGACCACCGACUGCAAGAGGGUGAGAGGGCAAAGACCAGACGGAGAAAGAAAAAGGGAGAGAAAUAGAGAGAAGAGGCAGCCAUGUGCGUCUCCGAGCAGCCUCGAAGCUCUCUGCAACUAUACGAACGUUCGGCUUCGUUCCCGUUCUCCUUCGCGCCGAAUUCGUGCUAGCGUAGAUAUGAAAUCUGGGAAGGUUCGUCACUGGAGUAUGUUGCAUCACACAAGGACCAGUGAAAUUCCCAGUGCAUCAAAUAAGCGGCAUCCUUUCCUCUCCGCUCCUCGAGCUCCCAAUGAAAAAGAUGAUGCGAGGGCCGACGCGUGUGGAACACGAAGUGCAGCCGGGACCGUGGUUGAUCGUUGUCGGGGAGCAAAGGUGCAAGCUUGAUAGUCCGCCGUUCCGUUCGUUCCGCCGUUCCUCCCGUCCGGGUUCCACCGUCCAUGUCUCGGUUCGUUCGCUGGUUCAGCUGGCGUCCCACGGCACGCAGUCUGUCGCUGUCACCGACGAUGCUCGUUUCUCGUAUAGCCGUAUGCCCGAACAACCAGUACGUGUUCCUUCAUCCGACGUUUUCCGUCGUUUCUUUAUUUUUAAAUAUGUCUACGUAGAAUUUCUUUGUGCUAUUUCGAGUCGCUUUUGUAUUAAUCUCCUGAAAAAAGGACGGUGUUUCGACGAGUGAAUUUCAGUCCCCUCCCGCGGUUAUUUAACAUGGUUACGUAUUUUCAGAGACACUUCCGGUAGAGGAAACUCGAUUAUCGGAUACCAACUGUCAAAGUUCUUCGAGAGUUUCAAUCAUUUUCUAGGGGAAUUCUAGUUUUUUGAGAUUAUUCUGAAAGUAUGGUGAAUUUAAGCUCGAGAAUAUUCUUGGAUACGAUUUUCCCUGAAACCGGUCGCGCGAAUCGCGAUUGUGACCGUGACUGGAAGGUGACAUGGUAUCUUCCCAUGAGUGACGCGGGUGUCCAGUAAAGUGGCAAGUGUUUUCUUCUCUCUCCUUGGAUCUGGAGACGCCGGUUUUUCCCCGGUUAAUUGUGCUGUGUGACGGGUGUGUGCGUGCAGUGUGUCCACACAGUGUAUGGUCGACGUGGUGAAGAUUCAGGCGAGUCCUUAUGUAGCUCUGGAAUAUCUGGUGUAAUCGAUGAGGAUAAUUGUAGGAGAUGUGCUGCAGGCAGAAUCUAUUAUUUCAUGGGAGGAGACCAAGGAUGAGCCGAUUGCCGAGGAAUCAAGAGAGGAGUGCAGCUUUUCGUGUAGCGUACAUAAUUCCCGCUCGACUACUCCUGCAUCCAGGUCCUUCGCCGUCUUCCAAACCUUAAGAUCCGUUCACAACGAACAAUCUCAAUUUCCCUAUGUUUCUUUCCCCCAAGGAAACUUGGAACUUCGAGAUUUACAAUUCAAAUCCAUGGUGAAUUUAUCUUUAAAUGAGAUCCAAGGUCCAGGUUGUAAAACGUAAUCAGUCAGUUGGAAACGAUGCCUAACAUCCCUUAGGGCCGCGUGAGGAGAUGGCAGAGGCCAUUCAACUGUCUACGAGGCAGCAGGCAGGGGAUUUUUACAACGCCCGGACUCUCUACCUACUCUCCUAUAUUCUUCUUGCUCUUCUUUCCUCUCUCCAUCUUCCUCGUCCUCUUCUUCGUCUUGUUUCUUGUAGGAUAGCCCCGGCCCUCUUUUUCUAUGCUCUCCUGAUCUCUCUACCCGGCAAUGGCGCAGUAAACCGGGGGGCUACGCGUGAGAAGUUUGAUUCUAAAACUCGAAUUAUAUCAAAUCUCACAUAAAAAAUAAUGCCUCUAAAUAACAACUGUAGAAUAUGCUUGUCGAUCGAUAGAUUUAUUAAUGUUCAACGAGUUCGACAAUUAUUGAUAUUCCUUUACACUUGACGAAAAUCAUGAUUAAGUCCUUAAGGAAGCAGCGAUUUCAGCUGUUAAUUCGUCAACUUAAAUGAAUCUCUUAAUUUCGUUAACGUGUUGUUCUUAUUAUUCUACUUGGCAAACUAUGCUUAUAAAAGAAAAAUCGAAGAAACAAGAAUAUAGUAUUUUUAUUUGUUAUGAUCAAAUGCUAUUUUGUUAAUUUCCAGAUGCAGUUGCAGUAUUCCUCCACGGACAGUAGAAAGCAGUGAAAGGAAGCUGGGAGCACAUGGCGGAACGAUCCAGUGAUAGCCGUUAUCAGCUAUACUUGAUGAUACUAACCCGUAGAUCCGAACUUGUGGGCUUUUUUAUAUGUAUACCGCAAGCUCCUAUCUACCGGUACAUGUAGUCAGGCCAGCAUUUAAGCUUUUCGACGGAACCUCCUCCUUCUCCUUCACACACCCCUCUGCCCUCCUGAAAGCCCGCAGCACUUCCGGUUAUCAACGCGUGCAUUUUUUGCCAAGUAAUUUUCUCGAUUGUAUGAAAAGAAGUGAAAAAGGACGAGUAUGACGAAUGAAAGCAGGGAUGAAAAGAGCAGUAUCUACCGUUCUGUCACUUCCGGUUUACUGACCAAUUAAUUACGAAUAGUAAUGUAACGAUCGAAGCGUCGUAAGUCUUGAAACACAAAACAUGAAUGUACUUACUUUGAUCAAAGCUAACUUCGUCAAACCUGUGUUCUGAGAUUAGUUAGAAUAUGCAAUUUGUUGAGGCAUUUCUUGAUUAUUAGUACGUUACAUAAUUAUUUCUUAAUAAACAUC